UUGCUGUGAUGACUUAUCUUAGGACACCUUUGGAAUACCCAUGAAAAGAAAUUAAUUACUUCUGAGCAAC
rnacentral:snoRNA from 1 species